rnacentral:lncRNA from 1 species
GGGAGUACCAUAGGGUGGUGCACGGUGUUGUCUGGGGUGGGCUGUCAUUGGGAGUACCAUAGGGUGUUGUUGCUGGGUGGGCUGUAUUGGGAGUACCAUAGGGUGGUGCACGGUGUUGUCUGGGGGGGCUGUCAUUGGGAGUACCAUAGGGGGGUUUGUCUGGGGUGGGCUGUCAUGGGAGUACCAUAGGGUGUUGUCGGGGGUGGGCUGUCAUUGGGAGUUCCAUAGGGUGUUGUCGGGGGUGGGCUGUCAUUGGGAGUACCAUGAGGUGUUUGUUCUGGGUGGGCUGUCCUUGGGAGUACCAUAGG